AGGAAUUAGGAAAUGGAUUCACUGUUCAUCCGCUGAAGAUACUGCUGAAGAAGAUGAGUCUUUUCCUAAAGAGGGUUGCAGCGAUCCCCAGUCUGAGGUGUCUCUUGUCCUGGAAAGAGUCUCUGAGGAGCUUAGUGAAAUGAGGAAAUCCAUAACUCUGCUUAGCAGCAGGACAGAAGAUGAGAAGCCUGGAUGUUGGAGCAGAGUGGCUGAUAUAAUCAACAAAGUCUUUGCAGUUUCCUACAUUAUAUCUGUUAUAAUGUUUAUGAAGAACUUUUUCACAGAGUGGAUAUUUGAUUAAAUACCAAUAUAAGGUGCCAUUGAGACUUCCCAAUUUCCCCUAAAAAGCAGAACAUUUCAAUUUAACUUCACAUUUAUUGUAACAAUUAGAUGUUGUGCUGUUAGAAAUGUAUGAUGAUCAAACUGUCAGACUUUUUAUAAGUUAACUGCAAGCUGACAAACACACAAAUGACAAAAUAACCCUGUCAUAGAUUAUUUCAAAGUAGAUUAAAAUUCCAUAAUAAUUAUAAAAUGUAUAUUUCAAAAAGCUAUUUAGUCUCUUUCUCAACACUCUUUUUUAGUUAAUCAGAAAAGUAUUUGAUAGUAAUAAAGUUCAGGCAAACAAUUUAUUUCUCUAUAAAAUCAGAAUUUCACUUUCCUUUCUAAAUACAAUCUAACAACAAAGAUAUUUGAUCAAAAAUUUAAACCAAUACUAUUAGGACCUAACUUUUUCAUAAAUGAAACAUACAGAGUUUGCUAACCUGUGAAAAUAAAAUGCUUAUUUUCUUAGAACAGGAAUAUAUAACAGGGUGGAUAGUUAGUUACAUGAUAAAAUUACUAAACAAAGGUUAUGGUGUCUAAACAGGUUAUGAUGUCACUGAAAAAAUUAGCGGGUUUUUCAAAGUCACAGUGAGCCCCAAUUGACAUGGAAGCAUGCAAAAUGUUAAAUGAAAAUUGUUGGAAAAAUAUAUAUAAGUUAUCUCAUAUUUGCUUUUAUGAAUUAUAGCUAUAUAGGUGUUAUAAUCAUGUUUGCAGAAGUGUGUGUGUGUGUCCAACUCUGUUUCACAGGAAGGUGGAGGUGAAACCCCUGAGUGAAACCCCCUAUCUUUGCGUCUUUACAGCCUCCUCCUGACAACUUGUGUGUUAGCUGUGUCUAGAAUGAAUCGAAGGACGCUCUGUGUCAGUUACCCGUGAGAAAAGGCUUUGCAGGUCUGAAGAUGAUGUGGGAAGGCUGUGAAAAGACAGACAUGUCGUAAUUAAUGUUUUCUGAUUGCGCUGCAGCUGUGUUCUGUUUCCCCUCCUUAGAGCUCAGCGCAUAUGUAAAUUAGGGAAUACCCAACAAACUUAAUAAAAGAGGAGGCGACAGAAUAUGCGCCAGAGUGGAGAGAGAUUGUUUGCUGGGUAUAAUCUCUGUUCGCUCUCCUCAUAAAAGGUA